AAAAGAGAUCUUUACCUCUUAGGGGAAUUUCCCUGUUAAGGUAGCUGCCUUACCCUCAAAAGCUUCUUCAGACCUGCCUUGCCCCGUGGUGCCUCAGCUAGUGGCUCUGAGUCCCUAGAGCUCUGGGAAAAUAAUGACAGGACUCGAUAUAUAGGUAAAGAUGCCUCAAAGUUGUUGAGCACAUCAACAAAACCAUAUGGCCUGACCUAGAUAGCAAGAAAGCGAACUUUGACACUGAUGAUAGAGAUGCCUGGCACUGAGAAGAAAUCUAACUUUGGUCCGCGUGGCAUAUGGUGUGUCCUUUGCUGUCUAUAAAGCUGGAGUUGCUGAGAAUAGGACUCCCUUUGUACCAUCAUGUUGCUGACUUGGUCUGUGCUUCCGAAGUCAGUGCAACCCUGCAAGUUGCAGCUUUAAUGUGAUUAAUGGUGGUUUCCACACUGGCAACCAGGUGACAGUGCAGGAGCCCAUGAUUCUUGUUGUUGGUGCAGCUAACUUUAGGGAAGCCUCGUAUGCACUGGAGCUGAGGUUUAUCACAACCUCAGCUGAAGAAUGUUUUUAAGGAGAAACAUGGGAAAACUGCUACCAGUGAAGGGCAUGAAGAGGGCUUUGCUCCUAACAUCCUAGAGAAUAAAGAAGCCCCAGAGCUGCUACAGCAUGCACUUGGGAAAGCCAGCGACACUACUAGGGUUGUAAUAGGCACUGACCUGUCCGCCUCACAGUUCUUCAGGUCUGGGAAAUAUGAUUUGGACUUUAAGUCUCCUGAUGGUCCCAGCAGAUACAUUUGGCCCUGUACAAGUUCUUCUGCAAUGAUGGGUAGUAUCCAUCAAAAAUCCCUUUGAGCAGGAUGUUGGGAAGCUCAGAUGAAGUUCACUGCCAGUGCAAGUAUCCCAGCAGUGGGGGGGAUCAUCUCAUUGACCAAACUGAAGGAAUUGUGCACCUGCCUCCUGCUUAGGUGAAGCAGGUUGGCUCUGUGCCCUAGUCUAUUCCAGAGUGUAAGCUGGUCCAGACCAGUGAGAGAGGUGUCAGGGGUUCUCAUUACUCUGAAAAAACUGACCAUGCUUCCGUUGCCACCCUGGUGGUGGGGCUGUGCACUGGACUGAUCAAAACAGGUGCACCUUGACAAACAGAACUGGGCCAAGUAUAGUCAGUUCCUCAGAAGCAGAGGGGCUGGAUAGCAAGGCUCAGUUCGCCAGUGAGAAAUUCAGAAAUUCUCUAGCAGAGUAA
rnacentral:lncRNA from 1 species